AACGUAGGAGACAAACGUUAUCCGGAGUUACUGGGCGUAAAGGGCGUGUAGGUGGUAGUGUAAGUCUGGCGUGAAAUUUUUCGGCUUAACCGGGAAAGGUCGUCGGAUACUGCACAACUAGAGGACGGUAGAGGCGUGUGGAAUUCCCGGUGUAGCGGUGAAAUGCGCAGAUAUCGGGAGGAACACCGGUGGCGAAGGCGGUUCUCUGGGCCUGACCUGACGCUGAGGAGCGAAAGCGUGGGGAGCGAACAGG
rnacentral:rRNA from 1 species